UAAUUAUAAUUUUAUUUUUAUGUUUAUUUAUAUUAUUUAAUUAGAAAUAUCUUAUUUGUUUUAGUAUAUUUUUAGAAUUAAUAUUUUUUAUGAUAGUUUAUUGUACUGUGAAGGUAAUAUUUUUAAUUUUUUUCCAGUAAUGUUUUUUUCAUGUACCUUUUGUAUCAGGGUUUAUCAAUAAUUUUUAUUUAUCAUAAUUUUCCCGAAAUUAAAAGAUCUAUAAUUUUAUGAAGGUUAUUGUUUCAUAAUUAUCUUGAAUAUAAUUAUAGAGGAGAUAUUCUAUUCAAUUUUAAAUAUCUGGUUUUUUAAUAAAUGAAUUUAAUUCAGGCUUAAUUUUUCUAUUUGUUAAUUUUAUUACUUAUAUUUUUUUAAGUUAAUAUUAUCGGGGAUAAGCUCGUUAAUAUUUAUAUAACAAGUUAUUUCAUGAUAUUUUUAGUAGGCCUAAUAACAGCCAUCAUUUAUUUCGUUAUAGUUAAUUUUUAUUUGAUUUUGAUUUAUUUUUGUUUAUAUUAUUAUUAAAAAUUUUAUUACAAUUUUUGUUUAUAUAGUUAUAAUGAUAAAAUUAGUAUGUUUGUAAAUUAUAAUAUAGGAAUUCGGCAAAACUUAUUUCCGCCUGUUUAUCAAAAACAUGUCCUUUUGAUUUUUAUAUAAGGUCUGACCUGCCCUAUGAAUAUUUAAAUGGCCGCGGUAUACUAACCGUGCAAAGGUAGCAUAGUCAUUUGUCUCUUAAUUGGAGGCUUGAAUGAAGGGUUGGACGAGAUAUAAGCUUUCUUUGUUAUAUUUUAUUGAAUUUGACUUUUGAGUUAAAAGGCUUAAAUUUUUUUAUAGGACGAGAAGACCCUAUAGAAUUUUAUAUAUUUGUAUAAUUGAUUUAUUUAUUUAUUAUUUAAUUUCUUGUUUAAAUAUAUUUUGUUGGGGCGAUGGGAAGAUUUUAAUAACUCUUUUUUGUUUUGAUCAUUGAUUUAUGUUUUAUUCUGAUCCUUUUUUAGAGAUUAUAAGAUUAAAUUACCUUAGGGAUAACAGCGUAAUUCUUUUGGAGAGUUCUUAUCGAUAAAAGAGUUUGCGACCUCGAUGUUGAAUUAAGAUAAGUGCCAGGGGCAGAUUUUUGGUUACUAGGUCUGUUCGACCUUUAAAUUCUUACAUGAUUUGAGUUCAGACCGGCGUGAGCCAGGUUGGUUUCUAUCCUUAAUUUUUAUUAACUUUUUAGUACGAAAGGACCAAGAGUUAGAAAUAAUUUUUUUAUUUUUGAUUAAUAUUA
rnacentral:rRNA from 1 species